AACGAACGCUGGCGGCAGGCCUAACACAUGCAAGUCGAGCGAGGACUUCGGUCCUAGCGGCGGACGGGUGAGUAACGCGUGGGAACGUGCCCUUUGCUUCGGAAUAGCCCUGGGAAACUGGGAGUAAUACCGGAUGAGCCCUUUGGGGGAAAGAUUUAUCGGCGAAGGAUCGGCCCGCGUUGGAUUAGGUAGUUGGUGGGGUAAUGGCCUACCAAGCCGACGAUCCAUAGCUGGUUUGAGAGGAUGAUCAGCCACACUGGGACUGAGACACGGCCCAGACUCCUACGGGAGGCAGCAGUGGGGAAUCUUGGACAAUGGGGGAAACCCUGAUCUAGCCAUGCCGCGUGAGCGAUGAAGGCCUUAGGGUUGUAAAGCUCUUUCAGCUGGGAAGAUAAUGACGGUACCAGCAGAAGAAGCCCCGGCUAACUCCGUG
rnacentral:rRNA from 1 species